GUGUUGCUUUAAGAAAAAGUCACGUGACCAACACUGCUGCUGUGUCGCUCAUUGCCGAGGCGCCAAACUGUGUUUAUAAGGUAUCGACUCUGCAUCUGUCAACGGGAUGAGUCGCCGCGAAAAAAUUACCAUUUCAAAGAUAAAACAAGACAUCCCUCUUUACAUCAAGAAAAUGGAGCCAGAGAGGAAAAGAAAAGUUUCUGCUGUAUGGGAUCAUUUUGAUCUUUUAACAGCAAAUAAGGUUAAAUGUCGGAUCUGCUCAGCCGAGUUGUCUUAUACAAAUAAGAGCACUUCCUCAAUGCUGAGACAUUACAGAGUCAAGCAUGAAAACGAAGAGGAAGCAAAGAACGAACACAGAAUCUAGGAAGAUUGCUCUGGACCAAGCAGUCCUGAAUUUUAUUAUAAAGGACUGCCAACCCCUGAGUAUUGUGGAGAGUGAGGGGUUCGGGGGUUGAUUCAGGCCCUUGAUCCAUCUUACGCUUUGCCAACCAGAAAGACGGUUAAGGAAAUGAUGGCCAAAAAGCAUGCGGAGGAACUCGAACGAGUAAAAAGGGAAGUACAGCAAGCUGUGGCAGUGAGUAUAACAGCUGACAUGUGGACCUCCUUGAACAUGGAGGCUUAGCUCUUACCUGUCACUACAUCAAUGAUAAUAUGCAGUUGUGUACAUCUGUGUUGGGAGUCAAACACUUUCCACAAAGUCACACUGCUGACAAUCUGGCCCAAGUCAAAAGGGG